CUGGGGGUCUCCUUGUCAAAUCAAAUGCUCUGCACCUUACAGGUAAUUAUCAAUAAAACGUCACAAUGUGCAGAGAAUUUUAUUUUCCUGCUGGGGAGCUCUAAAACCACAGAAAAAUAUGGGUUGGUGACAAAAUCGAAGGUCGAUUAAAAUAGAUAAACUCAGGUGCUGGUUUCCUGGUGCUGGUUUCCUGGUGCUGGUUUCCAGGUGCUGGUUUCCAGGUGCUGGUUUCCUGGUGCUGGUUUCCUGGUGCUGGUUUCCAGGUGCUGGUUUCCUGGUGCUGGUUUCCAGGUGCUGGUUUCCUGGUGCUGGUUUCCAGGUGCUGGUUUCCUGGUGCUGGUUUCCAGGUGCUGGUUUCCUGGUGCUGGUUUCCUGGUUUCCUGGUUUCCUGGUGCUGGUUUCCUGGUUUCCUGCUGCUGGUUUCCUGGUUUCCUGGUGCUGGUUUCCUGGUUUCCUGGUUUCCUGGUGCUGGUUUCCUGGUUUCCUGGUUUCCAGGUGCUGGUUUCCUGGUUUCCUGGUGCUGGGUUCCUGGUUUCCAGGUGCUGGUUUCCUGGUUUCCAGGUGCUGGUUUCCUGGUUUCCUGGUGCUGGUUUCCUGGUGCUGGUUUCCUGGUUUCCAGGUGCUGGUUUCCUGUUUCCAGGUGCUGGGUUCCUGGUUUCCUGGUGCUGGUUUCCAGGUGCUGGUUUCCUGGUUUCCUGGUUUCCAGGAGCUGGUUUCCUGGUUUCCUGGUUUCCUGGUGCUGGUUUCCUGGUUUCCUGGUUUCCUGGUUUCCUGGUGCUGGUUUCCUGGUGCUGGUUUCCUGGUGCUGGUUUCCUGGUUUCUUGGUGCUGGUUUCCUGGUUUCCUGGUGCUGGUUUCCUGGUUUCCAGGUGCUGGUUUGACCCCUCUUCAAACAGGACAGAUUGUGGUUCUGUAAGGGAGAUAACAGAAGCGUAGACUCUAGCCCUGCAGCAGGAAAAUAUGCUUACUAAACAGGCUACUCUAGCCCUGCAGCAGGAAAAUAUGCUUACUAAACAGGCUACUCUAGCCCUGCAGCAGGAAAAUAUGCUUAUUAAACAGGCUACUCUAGCCCUGCAGCAGGAACAUAUGC
rnacentral:lncRNA from 1 species